rnacentral:rRNA from 1 species
GACGAACCGUGCGAACGUUGUUCGGAAUCACUGGGCUUAAAGGGCGCGUAGGCGGACUGCCAAGUCCGGGGUGAAAUCCUCCGGCUUAACCGGAGAAUUGCCUGGGAUACUGGCGGUCUUGAGGGAGGUAGGGGCACGCGGAACUUCCGGUGGAGCGGUGAAAUGCGUUGAUAUCGGAAGGAACGCCGGUGGCGAAAGCGGCGUGCUGGCCCUCUUCUGACGCUGAGGCGCGAAAGCCAGGGGAGCAAACAGG